GCCACCUUAGCUCAGUUGGUAGAGCAGCUGUUUUGUAAACAGCGGGUCACGGGUUCGAGUCCCCUAGGUGGCU
rnacentral:tRNA from 1 species